GUCUGGAGGUAUCCAGAUGUGCCUUAACAAAUGUAAAUGGUUUUCAUUCAGAAGUUUACAUUUUUAUUACAUUAUAAAAUCUCAUCAUUGGGAACUUUCUAAACCAUGAAUAUCAGUUCUUUUAAUGAAAUUUAGGUGGUGCUUUAUCAUUUUGGAGAAGUUGCUGUUUGGGACAAUAGCAUCAGUUUAUCAAGAAGUGUACUCACCAUGAUAUUCAACAAUGUGUUACAUUUGACAAAACGUGUUUAGAGUAAGAAAGACUAACUAUACUGUCUGUUAUAUUUAUUUAUGCUUUUUGUAGUUUAGCUACAUACUAUAAUUUUCAUUUUAAACGUUCCUUAGUUACUACAAAUAAUAUUUAUGUUUUGCUUCUUCUUAGAUGUAGGCGGAUGCAGAAAUAGAAUUAUGUUAGAGAAAUUAUUAAAAGUUUAAUUCCAGUAGGCAGUUGGAGAAAUCUGAAACUAAUUUGAAAAACUUUUAUGCUGUAGUCUCAUUAGAAUCAUUUUAAAAGCACUGUUCUUGCAUUUUUCCUAGACUACAGAGAGUGUUCUUUGUCAUUUUUUUUCCUAUUCUGUUGUGAAGUUUAUUGUUUCAGUUAUUUGAGGGAAAUAACCUCUUAAUAUGUUUAUUUUCCUGAACUAAAGUUUUCAUGUAGAGAAUACAAUUAAAUGUUUUGUGUUAUGACCCAAACUGGCUGGAAGUAGAGUUCAGAGAGGGAGAAGGGACAAGAAUCAGUGUGGGCAUCUCAGGAAAGUGGCGCCAGUGCUGGGCUCCAGCCUUCUCCACUGGCAUGAUGGGUCCUCAGAUUCUCCUCUGGAUAAUGAGGGUGUUGGGCACUGUGAGCUCUGACUUCUGGGGAGGAUAGGCCAUCAUGGACUCCAUACACAAUUUUGAUGGGUAUCAGUUCUCAUAAAAUACCUGCUACAAUUUAUUUAUUUUGUAGUUGUUUAGAAAACUGUGAGCAGUUGGGCAUUAGUAAAUUGUAGUUAUAUCUUAACGAUCUUGGGAAUCAUUGAAAUAUGAGUUUUUUUCCCUCACUCCUAUUUAUUUAAUUAAAAAAUUAGGGAAGUUGUUCAUUCACAGCUGUAUAUUAAUAUAAAAUCUCUUUAUAAAAUGAUUCAGAGAAAAGGCAGUAGUGGUCACUUACUGUGCUAAAAUACCUUUUUCUCUAAAAAUAUUUAAGCUUUAGGGUUUGUCAUAGUUUUACUUUUUAAAUUAUACUUUGUGUAACAAUUUACGUUAACUAGAAAAAUUAGAUAUAUAAUAAGUUUUGGUACUAAGAAACAUUUACAUUCUACACUCAUUAGUCAAAUGAACUUUUCUUUCCCAGUGCUAACAGAUUUUGUUUCAUGUGAAGAAAAAUAAAAUACAAAUGAAAUAAAAGUCUAGAAACAGCAACAGGAAACUCACCACAGAAAUAAAGACAUAACCCUUGAUAAGUUUGUGUAAGUGCCAGAAUUAUUGGAAGCAGGUGACGAAUGAUUAAGAAAAGCUUUAUUGUGGGGACAUGCUUUAAGAAUCAGCUCUGUAUUUGUGCCAAGGAGAUCAGGUAUUGGUGUGCAAACAGAUCCCAUUAAUACUCUGAUUUGAACCAUGAAUUCCACCUACUCUGCGUUGAAGCCCUCCAGUAGACUGAUAGAUGUAAUCAAAUGAUCAGCUACCAAGUUUAAUUCCUUUGCCUGUGUGUAGCAACAGUUGGUAGUUUUACAAGUUAAGUUGAUGGUCUGGCUGCAGAUAAGAGAAAGACUCAGUGAUAGGUGGUUUGUGAGUGAAGUAACUUCCACACUGUCAAGAGUUGACAGCAUAUUAAUUGUGUGGCAUUAUAAUUGUGAGAAACAAAUGAGAGCAAAAUGUUAGGUCCUUUGACAAGCAUUUUCCUCCUGUUUUUAAAAAGGGCUUUAAGUUGUUUCCUAUGUAAGGUAAUCUUUCUUUUUUAGUAUUAUCUAAGAAGGAUGGUAGAUUAUGUCAUUUUGGAAACUAUUGUGUCCCUUGUAUUUUAAAUAUUUCAGGAAAAUGCCUACGAUUGUUACAAAGAUGUGUGUUUUACUUAUAACAUAAGCUCUGAUUCUCCAGUGGCCACUGGGCCUUCUCUGUGCUCUGUAUUCAACUGCAGUAUGAAUUACAGAAUGCUGUGCAUGUUCGUUAGUACCAAUACCAUGUGUAUGUGGUAGAAGUUGUAACCAGUUUCUGGAUCUGUAUGGUACUAUAAAAUACUUAUUUUAUAAUUCUGUAACCGUAUGGCAGUGUUAUGCCAAAAAUGUAUAAAGAGCAAUAGUUUUUGUUGCUUACUGCUGUAUUUUAAAAUAUUGUUUCUAAAAUAAUAGAGUUAGAGUUCCUUUUGAGUAAUUAUUUUUAAGAACUAUUGCCAAAUAUACAUCCUGUAAAACUAAUAAAAGCCACUCCAUCUUAGAUAACAUUUUAGCAUUGUGCUAGAGUACAUUAUGGUGAUUUUGCACGAUUAAAAUAUUUUUAAAGAACUAGAAAAAA
rnacentral:lncRNA from 1 species